rnacentral:tRNA from 1 species
GCGAGCGUUGUAUAAUGGCUAUUACCUCAACUUCCCAAGCUGGAGACGAGGGUUCGAUUCCCUUCGCUCGCU